AGAGUUUGAUCCUGGCUCAGAUUGAACGCUGGCGGCAUGCCUUACACAUGCAAGUCGAACGGCAGCACGAGAGCUUGCUCUUGGUGGCGAGUGGCGAACGGGUGAGUAAUAUAUCGGAACGUACCCUAGAGUGGGGGAUAACGUAGCGAAAGUUACGCUAAUACCGCAUACGAUCUACGGAUGAAAGUGGGGGAUCGCAAGACCUCAUGCUCAUGGAGCGGCCGAUAUCUGAUUAGCUAGUUGGUGGGGUAAAAGCUCACCAAGGCGACGAUCAGUAGCUGGUCUGAGAGGACGACCAGCCACACUGGAACUGAGACACGGUCCAGACUCCUACGGGAGGCAGCAGUGGGGAAUUUUGGACAAUGGGCGCAAGCCUGAUCCAGCAAUGCCGCGUGAGUGAAGAAGGCCUUCGGGUUGUAAAGCUCUUUUGUCAGGGAAGAAACGGUGGACUCUAAUACAGAUCACUAAUGACGGUACCUGAAGAAUAAGCACCGGCUAACUACGUGCCAGCAGCCGCGGUAAUACGUAGGGUGCAAGCGUUAAUCGGAAUUACUGGGCGUAAAGCGUGCGCAGGCGGUUGUGCAAGACAGAUGUGAAAUCCCCGGGCUCAACCUGGGAAUUGCAUUUGUGACUGCACGGCUAGAGUGUGUCAGAGGGGGGUAGAAUUCCACGUGUAGCAGUGAAAUGCGUAGAGAUGUGGAGGAAUACCGAUGGCGAAGGCAGCCCCCUGGGAUAACACUGACGCUCAUGCACGAAAGCGUGGGGAGCAAACAGGAUUAGAUACCCUGGUAGUCCACGCCCUAAACGAUGUCUACUAGUUGUCGGGUCUUAAUUGACUUGGCAACGCAGCUAACGCGUGAAGUAGGCCGCCUGGGGAGUACGGUCGCAAGAUUAAAACUCAAAGGAAUUGACGGGGACCCGCACAAGCGGUGGAUGAUGUGGAUUAAUUCGAUGCAACGCGAAAAACCUUACCUACCCUUGACAUGUCUGGAAUCCUUGAGAGAUCAGGGAGUGCUCGAAAGAGAAUCAGAACACAGGUGCUGCAUGGCUGUCGUCAGCUCGUGUCGUGAGAUGUUGGGUUAAGUCCCGCAACGAGCGCAACCCUUGUCAUUAGUUGCUACGAAAGGGCACUCUAAUGAGACUGCCGGUGACAAACCGGAGGAAGGUGGGGAUGACGUCAAGUCCUCAUGGCCCUUAUGGGUAGGGCUUCACACGUCAUACAAUGGUACAUACAGAGGGCCGCCAACCCGCGAGGGGGAGCUAAUCCCAGAAAGUGUAUCGUAGUCCGGAUUGUAGUCUGCAACUCGACUACAUGAAGUUGGAAUCGCUAGUAAUCGCGGAUCAGCAUGUCGCGGUGAAUACGUUCCCGGGUCUUGUACACACCGCCCGUCACACCAUGGGAGCGGGUUUCACCAGAAGUGGGUAGCCUAACCGCAAGGAGGGCGCUCACCACGGUGGGAUUCGUGACUGGGGUGAAGUCGUAACAAGGUA
rnacentral:rRNA from 1 species